rnacentral:rRNA from 1 species
ACGGGAGGCAGCAGUGGGGAAUAUUGGGCAAUGGGCGAAAGCCUGACCCAGCAACGCCGCGUGAAGGAAGAAGGUUUUCGGAUUGUAAACUUCUUUUAUCAGGGACGAAGGAAGUGACGGUACCUGAUGAAUAAGCCACGGCUAACUACGUGCCAGCAGCCGCGGUAAUACGUAGGUGGCAAGCGUUAUCCGGAUUUACUGGGUGUAAAGGGCGCGUAGGCGGGGAUGCAAGUCAGGUGUGAGAUCCAUGGGCUUAACCCAUGAACUGCACUUGAAACUGUAUUUCUUGAGUGCCGGAGAGGUAGACGGAAUUCCUAGUGUAGCGGUGAAAUGCGUAGAUAUUAGGAGGAACACCAGUGGCGAAGGCGGUCUACUGGACGAUAACUGACGCUGAGGCGCGAAAGCGUGGGGAGCAAACAGGAUUAGAUACCCUGGUA